UACGGGGGGGGGCAAGCGUUGUUCGGAAUUACUGGGCGUAAAGGGCUCGUAGGCGGCCAACUAAGUCGGACGUGAAAUCCCUCGGCUUAACCGGGGAACUGCGUCUGAUACUGGAUGGCUUGAGGUUGGGAGAGGGAUGCGGAAUUCCAGGUGUAGCGGUGAAAUGCGUAGAUAUCUGGAGGAACACCGGUGGCGAAGGCGGCAUCCUGGACCAAUUCUGACGCUGAGGAGCGAAAGCCAGGGGAGCAAACGGG
rnacentral:rRNA from 1 species